ensembl:snRNA U1 U1 spliceosomal RNA
AUACUUACCUGGCAGGGGAGAUACCGUGUUCAGGAAGGCGGUUCACCCAGGGCGAGGCUCAGCCAUUGCAAAUGUGGGAAUUAUUAUUCUGCAACCACUGGCAGAACAUCGUUUGGGGCAGUGGUGGCCUAGCAGUUAAGGAAGCAGCCUCGUAAUCAGAAGGUUAGUGGUUCGAAUCCCCAUCU